GAUUCAGACCUAAUUCGAUCUCUCCGCUCGAUCUCUCCGCCUCCCUCGAUCUCUCCGCUCUCCCGAUCUCUCUCGAUCUCAUCCCUCUCGAUCUCCUCUCUCUCGAUCUCUUCCCUCUCGAUCUCCUUCUUCUCGAUCUCUCUCUCUCACAGUCUUUCUUUCUCUCUCUCUCUCCCAUCUCACCUACCCUAAACCUUCACAAGCCGCCGUAAACCAGGCAUAUACCCAGCUCACCCGCCGUAAACCAUCUGCGCCAGCCACAAGCCGCCAUCCACAAAGCAUCACCAGCUGCGACUUUGUCUCUGAUCUGUUUAAAUUUUCAGGAUCAUAUUGUACCGGUUGUAUCCUCGAUUUUCUUACGCAGGCUGCUUCUUCCUGGGGUUCAUCAUAAUAUUGCUUUGCGCUCAACCUUGCUGGAUUAUAACAGGCACUGGAGUGAUUCAGAUUUCCAUUCUCUAACCGCCGAUAUGUUGAAGAAGGAAAUUCUUUCCCUGAUUGAACAUGAGGUUUGCGUUGGAGUUUUUAUUGUUUCUCUCUCACACACUCAUAUGACACCGUGGAGGGGAUAGGAAUGACCUGGGGUUGCUAGCUAACAGAUAACCAAUGUAUGUUGUCUAUUGUUUUAGGGUGUUAGUGAUAAUUCAACGUCAAUAUUGUGCUGUUGGAAAAAAUUAUGUUCUCCCUACUUCCAAAAUUGGUGCAAGAGCAAUGCACUAUGUGGCUUGCUUUUGGAUUCCUACAGGGGUAGUUUUGGAUUGAUCAGAAAGAACUCAGUAUCUCUUUUUCGUUGUUCGGAGAAUAUUGAGCGGCUUAUUAAUGGUAUCUCAGGUACUUCUGAUGAUCUCAUCCAUCUU